rnacentral:rRNA from 1 species
GACAGAGGAUGCAAGCGUUAUCCGGAAUGAUUGGGCGUAAAGCGUCUGUAGGUGGCUUUUCAAGUCCGCCGUCAAAUCCCAGGGCUCAACCCUGGACAGGCGGUGGAAACUACCAAGCUGGAGUACGGUAGGGGCAGAGGGAAUUUCCGGUGGAGCGGUGAAAUGCGCAGAUAUCAGGAGGAACACCGGUGGCGAAGGCGGGUCUCUGGGCCGAUACUGACGCUGAGGAGCGAAAGCGUGGGGAGCGAACAGG